rnacentral:lncRNA from 1 species
GCCGUGCCGGAAUUGCGAUAUUGGCCGAAAGGGGGCCCUAAGUCUAAUUUGGGAUUUUUUGUGGCACGUGCAGGUACCAGUAGUGCGUUUCAGUUCCCCGAGAAAAAUUCAGAGAAAAUUAGGGACAACUUGUAGGCGCACUGUAGAGCCAUAUUCAGACCCCGAAACAAGUAAGGACCCCUCACCCUAUUUCCUAUCACGGUAUUUCAUGAAUCAAUAGAUGUGUGAAAUUGUUUAAGGUCGCUAAUGGAGCCCGAGUCUGGUGUAUUUGUUGGUCAAUUGUUGUUUGUUCUAUUUUACAGUUUUAAAUGCAGUAUGAUGUUUGAUGUUUUCAUUUCAUAGUUUCGUGUGCAUAUAUCACUGUUUUAUUGAUUAUGGGUUGAAUGACUGAGAACCCGAUGUUGUGUGUUGUCUUGUUUGGCAUAAACUACUGGUUUGCAUGUUUGUGUGUGAUUUGAUG